CGAUAACCAACCAGGCUCCUUAUCAGCAGCUGGGCGUAUGUGUGGUUCCAGGGGACACUGACAUUUAGAGUGACUCAAGUGUGAGUGUAAGAAUCACCAUUCUACUGACUGUGUUUUUGAGGAAGCCGGGGACUCACACCACCAUUCUCCGUGAGUUUCCUGGUCUGAAAAGAUUGCCAGACAGGAGCUAUUGAAAGUCCCCAUGUCCUGUGUGCAGAUUUUUAAUGGAAACCUCAAACCUGUUACACCACAGGUGAGUCACCUUGCCUCCUUUGAGAACAAAGACAAGUAUCAUGUGAUAUGGCUUUUAUGUGGAAUCCUAAAGAUACAAAUGAACCUAUAUACGGAACAGACGCUCAG
ensembl:lncRNA